rnacentral:rRNA from 1 species
CACACACCGCCCGUCACACCACGAAAGUUGGUUCUACCCGAAGUGGCUGAGCUAACCCGCAAGGGGGGCAGGCUCCGAAGGUAGGGCUGAUGAUUGGGGUG